CACAGUACAGACUUCUAUACUUAAAAAAUUUGUAGCGAAAACACAUUGAAUGCGUAUUGCGUUAUGCGUAGUGGCGACGAAAUGUACAACUAAGAUAAAAGCUGUAUUAAAAAGGUCUUAUUUAUUGGCUCGGAAGUUGUUGGAGUUGUAUAUAGUUUUAUAUGCUCUCAGAUUAUAGCAUGUGGAGCUAGAAAUCUGAACUUUAUGAUGAUUUUAUGCAUAUGACUCACUCAAAAUCUAUGUGUCGACAUAUUGGUGGAAAAUGAAGAUGGCACUAAUGAUAGAAUUCAUCUUAAAACAUGAGCAGACUAGUAUAAAUAUACAUAUAUGAUAUAAGAGGUUUAUUGCAUAAUCAAUAUUUUUUCAUAACUAAAAUAGUGAUAAAAGGAUUGUGGCUUAACUCCUUAGUGAUAAAUUAAACUAGGUUUAGACACCUUCAUUGUAUUAUUAUUGUUAUUAGCAACCAAUUAUAGAAUAUGAAUAUUUAGUUUUUUUUUAA